CGAGGGGGGGCUCGGGUUUUCACCCAAACCCCCUUUUAAAAAGUGUGGAAUGACCACAUUAAUGCAACCAAUACAACUUUCAACAACGGAUCUCUUGGCUCUGGAAUCGAUGAAGAAGGAAGCGAAUUCCGAUACUUAAUGUGAAUGGCGGAAUUCAGUGAUUCAUGGAUUCUUUGAACGCCCCUUGCGCCCCUUGGUAUUCCGAGGGGCACACCCGUUUGAGUUUCGUGAAACCAUCAACCUCUUUGGUUUCUUCUGGGGACCAAAGCAGGCUUGGACUUUGGAGGCCUUUUGCUGGCACCUCUCUCUUUUGAAGGCCAGCUCCUCUUAAAUGAAUUAGCAGGGUCCUCUUUGCCGAUCCUCGACGUGUGAUAAGAUGUUUUUCCAUGUCUUGGUUUCUGGCUCUGUCACCUUUGGGACCCGCUUCUAACCGUCUGACCUAGCGUC
rnacentral:rRNA from 1 species